AGAGUUUGAUCAUGGCUCAGAUUGAACGCUGCGGCAUGCUUUACACAUGCAAGUCGAACGGCAGCACGGGGGCAACCCUGGUGGCGAGUGGCGAACGGGUGAGUAACACAUCGGAACGUGUCCAGUUGUGGGGGAUAACCCAUCGAAAGGUGGGCUAAUACCGCAUGAUCUGGCAACAGCAAAGCAGGGGACCGCAAGGCCUUGUGCGAUUGGAGCGGCCGAUGUCCGAUUAGCUAGUUGGUGGGGUAAAGGCCCACCAAGGCGACGAUCGGUAGCUGGUCUGAGAGGAUGAUCAGCCACACUGGGACUGAGACACGGCCCAGACUCCUACGGGAGGCAGCAGUGGGGAAUUUUGGACAAUGGGGGCAACCCUGAUCCAGCCAUGCCGCGUGAGUGAAGAAGGCCUUCGGGUUGUAAAGCUCUUUCGGUGGGAACGAAACGGUUACGGCUAACACCUGUGACUAAUGACGGUACUCACAGAAGAAGCACCGGCUAACUACGUGCCAGCAGCCGCGGUAAUACGUAGGGUGCGAGCGUUAAUCGGAAUUACUGGGCGUAAAGCGUGCGCAGGCGGUUACUUAAGUCAGGUGUGAAAGCCCUGGGCUUAACCUAGGAAUUGCGCUUGAGACUGGGUAGCUUGGAGUGUGGCAGAGGGAGGUGGAAUUCCACGUGUAGCAGUGAAAUGCGUAGAGAUGUGGAGGAACACCGAUGGCGAAGGCAGCCUCCUGGGCCAGCACUGACGCUCAUGCACGAAAGCGUGGGGAGCAAACAGGAUUAGAUACCCUAGUAGUCC
rnacentral:rRNA from 1 species